CAGCCGCCGCGGUAAUACAGAGGGUGCGAGCGUUAAUCGGAUUUACUGGGCGUAAAGCGUGCGUAGGCUGCUUUUUAAGUCGGAUGUGAAAUCCCUGAGCUUAACUUAGGAAUUGCAUUCGAUACUGGGAAGCUAGAGUAUGGGAGAGGAUGGUAGAAUUCCAGGUGUAGCGGUGAAAUGCGUAGAGAUCUGGAGGAAUACCGAUGGCGAAGGCAGCCAUCUGGCCUAAUACUGACGCUGAGGUACGAAAGCAUGGGGAGCAAACAGGAUUAGAUACCCCCGUAGUCCCUGUCUCUUAUAC
rnacentral:rRNA from 1 species